rnacentral:rRNA from 1 species
CCUACGGGUGGCAGCAGUGGGGAAUAUUGUACAAUGGGGGGAACCCUGAUGCAGCGACGCCGCGUGAAGGAUGAAGUAUUUCGGUACGUAAACUUCUAUCAGCAGGGAAGAAAAUGACGGUACCUGACUAAGAAGCCCCGGCUAACUACGUGCCAGCAGCCGCGGUAAUACGUAGGGGGCAAGCGUUAUCCGGAUUUACUGGGUGUAAAGGGAGCGUAGGCGGGAUGGCAAGUUGGGUGUUAAAUCUACCGGCUCAACUGGUAGUCGCACUCAAAACUGCUAUUCUUGAGUGAAGUAGAGGCAGGCGGAAUUCCUAGUGUAGCGGUGAAAUGCGUAGAUAUUAGGAGGAACACCAGUUGCGAAGGCGGCUCUCUGGACUGUAACUGACACUGAGGCACGAAAGCGUGGGGAGCAAACAGGAUUAGAUACCCUUGUAGUC